GCGCGGUUAGCUCAGCUGGAUAGAGCGUUGGCCUCCGAAGCCAAAGGUCGCAGGUUCGAGUCCCGCACCGCGCG
rnacentral:tRNA from 1 species